rnacentral:rRNA from 1 species
GCGCAGCAGUCGAGAAUACUUUACAAUGUGCGAAAGCACGAUAAGGGAACUCUGAGUGCCUCCUAAGGAGGCUGUUCAGGUGUCUAAAAAGCACCUGGAGUAAGGGCUGGGUAAGACCGGUGCCAGCCGCCGCGGUAACACCGGCAGCCCAGGUGGUAGCCACUUUUAUUGGGUCUAAAGCGUCCGUAGCCGGUUGAGUAAGUUCCUUGGGAAAUUUGGCUGCUCAACAGUCAAGCUUCCAGGGAAUACUGCUCGACUUGGGGACUGGGAGAGGUCAGAGGUACUCCAGGGGUAGGGGUGAAAUCCAUUAAUCCCUGGGGGACCACCGGUAGCGAAGGCGUCUGACCAGACCAGGUCCGACGGUGAGGGACGAAGGCUAGGGUCGCGAACCGGAUUAGAUA